UUCAUAAUUGGAUUUUUGAAAGUCAUGUAUCAACACAUGCAUGGAUGGAAGGUGUUAUCAUGUUCUUUAAUCCGUCUAGUACCUUGCUAUCAUGGUUAUGUAUAUUUUCCUUUUAUAGAUUCGUUAUGCAUUUGAACUUUUGACAAAUGCUUUAUGGAAGAGAGAUUAUGACCUUUUUGGCAUUGAUGAACACUCUGAAUCCUUUCUUGUUGGAGAAUUUCAAGUUUUAGUUACUAGUAUGAUCGAACUCCCAAUUAUUAAUUCAUCUUCACUUGGUAUGUUCAUUGUUCUACUGAUGCAAAAAUGUCAGCAUGUGCAUAUGAGGUAUGCUGAGUGAUAUGAUAUGUAGAAGAAUUGAUUAGCAACUUUUAUGAUUGCAAUUAGGUAUGCCGAGUGAUAUGACCAAAGUUCAUUUCUAUUGUCGGGAAAUCAAAGCCUUCGCUCAUACAAGUUUAUUCUGGAAGCCUUCGCUGUGCUCAUGCAAUUCAUCAGUGCUUGGAAGAGGAGAGGGAAAAGAUAAUGACCAUACCUAGAAAGGAGAAGAAAAGAAAA